rnacentral:rRNA from 1 species
UACGUAGGGGGCAAGCGUUAUCCGGAUUUACUGGGUGUAAAGGGAGCGUAGACGGUUAUGCAAGUCAGAAGUGAAAGCCCAAAGCUCAACUUCGGGACUGCUUUUGAAACUGUGUAACUAGAGUGCAGGGGGGGUAAGCGGAAUUCCUAGUGUAGCGGUGAAAUGCGUAGAUAUUAGGAGGAACACCGGCGGCGAAGGCGGCUUACUGGACUGUAACUGACGUUGAGGCUCGAAAGCGUGGGGAGCAAACAGG